GGAAAUGCCAACUAAGUAUUUCUUAGUGUGUCAAUAAAAGAUAGUGGAAAAAGAAAACCAAACAAUUAAUUAUGGCCCAUCUCAGGGUUCAUAAUAUAAACUAAGUAUCUUUUUUUUUUGCCCAUGAUUGUCAAGUUUACAAAUUUGAUCUGAAGGCAAAAAAAGGAACAUGGCUGUACAAGAGGUCUAAAAACCCUCACCCAGAACAUGAGCUGAACACAGACAACAACAAUGAAUGUCUUGGAGUGGUCUAGGGAAAGGCUCUGAGGCUUCAACUCUAUACAAAUAAUUGCAAGCAACUAAGGAAUUCUGAGACAGGGAGAAAGUCUUCCUCAGUGAAGAGCACACCAAUUGGUUAUCCAAAACCAAAUGGUCAGGCCUCAAACCAUACACAUACAGACUGAGGAAAUUAUACACAUACUUAUGAACAUGUGUGUGUGUGCGUAUAUAUUAAGAAAUAAAAAUUAGAGGCCAUGACUUUGAAAAGGAGAAUGGAAGGGUAUAUAGGCAGGUUUGAGGGGAGAAAAGAGAAAGGGGGAAAUUGUGUAUCUCUAAAACAUACAAACAAACAAAAAACAACCUAGGCCCAUUCAAAUACACACUGAGAACUAAAUUCAGAUUGAAUACACCUACCACAUCCAUCAUGUAACUGAAACUUGAGAUUCAGAUACUGUUGGGAUGGAUUUAGUACAGGGCUUAGAGUUAAUAGUAAAAAUAAUUAACAGCUGGGCAGUGGUGGCGCACGCCUUUAAUCCCAGCCUCUUGUCCUUUCUAUCUUCAGACCUUCUCUCCAUGGGAACUUUCAAUCUCUUCCCCUUCUCCUCUGUCUCCCUUCCCAAGGCUGUUUCCCUGAUCUGUGAUCUUGCCUCCCCUGCCAAAAGCAGUUUCCAAAUAAACCUGAGAUAUAGAUAGAUAGAUAGAUAGAUAGAUAGAUAGAUAGACAGACAGAUAGGUAGAUAGGUCCCUGAUCUGGCUUGAAUUAGCUCAUUUUACCGUGAAGGAAUAACUUAUCAGAGACUUCAUAUGAUAAGGCGAUGCAAACCUUUUCUCUCCCUUCUGCCUCAUCUCCAUGCUCAAAUUUAGAAAAGAAACAAUUGUAGACACCACCCAGGAUUAAGCUAAACCCAGUCACCUGGAAUUUAGUAAAUGACUCCUUGUUGGAGGCAGGGGAGGUGGGAUAUAUGACAGCAUUUAUUCUACUCACAAGAAAACUACAGUUCAGAGUUGAGUUUCUCUGUGCAACUCUGACUGGGGAGACCAUAAGUGUCACUCUUCUUAUCUGUACUACUGUUUUCCUAUAUCCGAGGCACGUGGAAUGCCCCAGUCUUCAUUUACUACAUACUCACUGAGAGCCAAGUGUUAGGCAUUGCGUUUGCUUCCGUCAUAUCCAAACACUACUGUAAAAUGUGACAAAAGAGACAGGAAAAAGCUUUUGUAUAUCUCUCGAAAUUCCUUAAACAAGGCGUCCAGAAAUGUCAAGGAAAGUAGCAGAUAAAACAGGCCCAGUUUGAAGUGGUCUCUUCCCACUACCUCACAGGGAAAGAAGGAGCGCCCCCAUU
ensembl:lincRNA